UCCCUGGUAGCUCAGAGGGUAAAGCGUUUGCCAAAAAUGCGGAAGACCCAGGUUCAAUCCCUGGGUUGGGAA
rnacentral:tRNA from 1 species